rnacentral:lncRNA from 1 species
ACGGAAUAUCAUAUAUUCAAUUUUAUAUCGGUAAACAUGCAUCAUCAUAUAUCAUAUAUAUCGAAUACAAUUAAAACACGUAAUCUGAAUUAAUCUUUUCGCAAGUAGCUUUGAUACCACUGUUGGGCUUCGGCACAGAAACGCACAGCGGAAAUUAAAAUUAUAAAGCAAUUUCUGAAACCCUAAAACAGGAUCCAUGCAAAAAUCAAUUAAUUCAGAGGUUUAGA